UUAAAAAAAAAGAUAACUUUAAUCUUUAAGUCUUUUAAACUUAUCAUGCUACACAUAAGCCUA
rnacentral:tRNA from 1 species